UAAUUCAUUAAAAUGCACUGGUGAAGGUAAUACAUUUUUUUAGUUGAAUUUACAAAAUAUGUGAAUUAAAAUAAUGAUAAGUGCUAUGAAUAAGAUAUUAAUUUAUGCAUUAUUUAGCACUUAUCACACCCCCCAACCUACAUUUUGCUAGUCCUCAAGCAAAAUAAAAUAAAAAACUAACUCACUUUCGCAGGAAUCGCGAUUGCAUUUACCGUAUGCAAUAAGGCUUUAAACCCCUAGGUGGCCCUAGAGGACGAGUUUUGUCUCGUGAGGGUUUCCGGCUCAGAUACCCACAAACUGCUGUCGAAAGUAUUUAUUUUAUUGUUUUAUAAAAUCU
rnacentral:lncRNA from 1 species